rnacentral:rRNA from 1 species
AUUGAACGCUGGCGGCAUGCCUUACACAUGCAAGUCGAACGGUAACAGGUUAAGCUGACGAGUGGCGAACGGGUGAGUAAUGUAUCGGAACGUGCACAGUCGUGGGGGAUAACGUAGCGAAAGCUACGCUAAUACCGCAUACGAUCUACGGAUGAAAGCGGGGGAUCGCAAGACCUCGCGCGAUUGGAGCGGCCGAUAUCAGAUUAGGUUGUUGGGGAGGUAAAAGCUCACCAAGCCUGCGAUCUGUAGCUGGUCUGAGAGGACGACUAGCCACACUGGAACUGAGACACGGUCCAGACUCCUACGGGAGGCAGCAGUGGGGAAUUUUGGACAAUGGACGCAAGUCUGAUCCAGCAAUGCCGCGUGCAGGACGAAGGCCUUCGGGUUGUAAACUGCUUUUGUACGGAACGAAACGGUGAGCUCUAAUACAGUUUGCUAAUGACGGUACCGUAAGAAUAAGCACCGGCUAACUACGUGCCAGCCGCCGCCGUAA